ACCAUUGCAAGUGGAGGAUGGGAGUUGAUGAUCUUGAUGACGGUGACACUGGCUACAACACCUAAUUGUCUCAGUGGAGUGCAGAGCUGGAAAGAACUGGCACGCUUGCCAGAAUGGCAAGCUGUAUGCUUGCUUGCUUACACACUGACAGGCCUAUCAUUCACAUCAAACAGUCUGAUGAUUAUUGGAUAACCAAGCUUUUAG